UAAUUCAACUUCAAACUCAACCCCAAAGAGAUUUUGUGCAAACCACUUCCAAGGCUACAUCAAAGGCUCCAAUAACCUUGCUAUACUACAUUCAAAAGCCCUCCAAUCUCUUCAAUCGGAACAUGGCAGGCAACCAAGCACGCAUCAGACAGGGUAGAGAGACCCAGACUACGUCGGCUAGACGCGAGCGGGCGGCGCAGCUGGCGUCGACGCAGGGACGAGGGCAGGGCCGGGGACGUGUGCGAGUUCCCGUGCAGAUGGAAGGUACCUCUACAUCUGGAUCGAGGAGUCGUCUGGCUCGGGUAUCUUCUUCCUGCCAGCGAGAGGAGGAGGAUGAGGAGGAGGCAGUGACAUACCACGAGGCGGAGGAGGUACCAGAUGUUGACCCUCCACACGGGGAGGAGGAGGAGCAGGAGGAGGGCUACCCGGGAGGAGAGAGACUUUGAAAAUGGUGAACCACUCCCGGAAGGUUUUCAGUCUGUUUAAACCGAAUGAUGAGGGGUUUAACGACGUGGUGAGAGCUUCAGGGCUUAGUGGGCUCUGCAUGACGGGG